rnacentral:rRNA from 2 species
UACGAAGGGUGCAAGCGUUACUCGGAAUUACUGGGCGUAAAGCGUGCGUAGGUGGUUCGUUAAGUCUGAUGUGAAAGCCCUGGGCUCAACCUGGGAAUUGCAUUGGAUACUGGCGGGCUAGAGUACGGUAGAGGGUGGCGGAAUUCCUGGUGUAGCAGUGAAAUGCGUAGAUAUCAGGAGGAACAUCCGUGGCGAAGGCGGCCACCUGGACCAGUACUGACACUGAGGCACGAAAGCGUGGGGAGCAAACAGG